UGGGGAAUAUUGCACAAUGGGCGCAAGCCUGAUGCAGCCAUGCCGCGUGUAUGAAGAAGGCCUUCGGGUUGUAAAGUACUUUCAGCGAGGAGGAAGGCGGUAAGGUUAAUAACCUUAUCGAUUGACGUUACUCGCAGAAGAAGCACCGGCUAACUCCGUGCCAGCAGCCGCGGUAAUACGGAGGGUGCAAGCGUUAAUGGGAAUUACUGGGCGUAAAGCGCACGCAGGCGGUCUGUCAAGUCGGAUGUGAAAUCCCCGGGCUCAACCUGGGAACUGCAUCCGAAACUGGCAGGCUAGAGUCUUGUAGAGGGGGGUAGAAUUCCAGGUGUAGCGGUGAAAUGCGUAGAGAUCUGGAGGAAUACCGGUGGCGAAGGCGGCCCCCUGGACAAAGACUGACGCUCAGGUGCGAAAGCGUGGGGAGCAAACA
rnacentral:rRNA from 1 species